rnacentral:rRNA from 1 species
UCAGACGAUGCGUCAUGCAUAUCAAUAAGCGGAGGAAAAGAAACUAACAAGGAUUCCCCUAGUAACGGCGAGUGAAGCGGGAAGAGCUCAAAUUUGAAAUCUUAAAGGGUUUCCCUUUACGAAUUGUAGUUUAAAGAAGUGUUUUCUGUUGAGGUUUUGGUAAAAGUUCUUUGGAAUAGGACAUCAUAGAGGGUGAGAAUCCCGUAUUUGACCUUUACUUUCAACUUUGUGAUACACUUUCAAAGAGUCGGAUUGUUUGGGAAUGCAGUCCAAAAUGGGUGGUAAAUUUCAUCUAAAGCUAAAUAUUGGCGAGAGACCGAUAGCGAACAAGUACCGUGAGGGAAAGAUGAAAAGAACUUUGAAAAGAGAGUUAAACAGUACGUGAAAUUGUCAAAAGGGAAGCGUUUGACACCAGUGUUGUUUUUCUGAAAAUCAAUUAAAGAACUGUUUAUGCUAAGCUGUUUAGACUUUAUCAGCUAUCUGUUUAGUUUUAGGCUUUUCUCUAAUGCACUUUUCAGUUAACAAGUCAACAUCAAUUUCUUUUGCUGUAAAAAAGCUUGAGGAAGGUGGCUUGAGAUUCGUCUUAAGUGUUUAUAGCCUCUUGCCUAUGCAGUCGGAGAGAUUGAGGUCUGCAGCGUAGAUCCUUCGGGGCUAAAUGCAUUUGUGCUAAGUUAUAGCAUUUUAUAGACAACUUGUUGACUAUGAUUUGUCUUGUAGCUUACUCGCUUAUGUUAUUUUACCUACGCUUAGGAUGUUGACACACGCGCGUGCUCG